rnacentral:tRNA from 1 species
GCUGAUGUAGUGCAGUGGUAUAGCAUAUCCCUUUCCCAAGGGGAAGACCUGGGCUCAAACCCCGGCAUCAGCA